UUGGUGGGGUAACGGCCCACCAAGGCCACGAUGGAUAGGGGAACUGAGAGGUUCAUCCCCCACACUGGAACUGAGACACGGUCCAGACUCCUACGGGAGGCAGCAGUGAGGAAUCUUGGUCAAUGGAGGGAACUCUGAACCAGCCACGUCGCGUGAAGGAGGAAGGCCUUACGGGUCGUAAACUUCUUUUUCGGGGGAAUAAACGGGGUCACGGGUGGCCCCUUGCAUGUACCCCGCGAACAAGGAUCGGCUAACUCCGUGCCAGCAGCCGCGGUAAUACGGAGGAUCCGAGCGUUAUCCGGAUUUAUUGGGUUUAAAGGGUGCGCAGGCGGGUUGCUAAGUCGGUGGUGAAAUCCCGGGGCUCAACCCCUGGCUUGCCAUCGAAACUGGUUACCUUGAGUAUGGGUGAGGCAGGCGGAAUUCGUGGUGUAGCGGUGAAAUGCAUAGAUAUCACGAGGAACCCCGAUCGCGUAGGCAGCUUGCCAUUCCAUCACUGACGCUCAUGCACGAAGGCGUGGGGAUCAAACAGGAUUAGAUACCCUGGUAGUCCACGCGGUAAACGAUGAUUACUGGCUGUUCGCGAUACACUGUGAGCGGCCCAGCGAAAGC
rnacentral:rRNA from 1 species